rnacentral:rRNA from 1 species
UACGUAGGGAGCAAGCGUUGUCCGGAAUCAUUGGGCGUAAAGCGCGCGUAGGCGGCCCUGUAAGUCCGUUGUGAAAGUCAAAGGCUCAACCUUUGAAAGCCGAUGGAUACUGCAGGGCUGGAGUCCGGAAGAGGCGAGUGGAAUUCCUGGUGUAGCGGUGGAAUGCGCAGAUAUCAGGAGGAACACCAAUAGCGAAGGCAGCUCGCUGGGACGGUACUGACGCUGAGGCGCGAAAGCGUGGGGAGCGAACAGG